GGCUCAGGAUGAACGCUGGCGGCGUGCCUAAUACAUGCAAGUCGAACGGUAACCCUUGGAUUCGUCUGAGGGGGAGAGUGGCGAACUGGUGAGUAACACGUAGGUGACCUGCCUCGAAGACGGGGAUAACCAUCGGAAACGGUGGCUAAUACCCGAUACAUUCGGCAAUUCAGUUUGUCGAGUAAAGCUCCGGCGCUUCGAGAUGGACCUGCGGCCUAUCAGCUAGUUGGUAGGGUAAUGGCCUACCAAGGCGAAGACGGGUAGGGGGCGUGAGAGCGUGGUCCCCCACACUGGCACUGAGAUACGGGCCAGACUCCUGCGGGAGGCAGCAGUCGGGGAUAUUGCACAAUCAGCGAAAGCUGGAUGCAGCGACGCCGCGUGGGCGAUGAAGGCCUUCGGGUUGUAAAGCCCUUUUAUGGGGGAAGAGAAAAAGGACGGUACCCCAAGAAUAAGUCCCGGCUAACUACGUGCCAGCAGCCGCGGUAAAACGUAGGGGACAAGCGUUAUCCGGAUUUACUGGGCGUAAAGAGCGUUGAGGCGGUUCCGUAAGUUGGGCGUUAAAGCCCCGGGCUCAACUCGGGGAGGUCGUUCAAUACUGCGGAACUUGAGGGCAGCAGAGGGAGGCGGAAUUCCCGGUGUAGCGGUGAAAUGCGUAGAUAUCGGGAGGAACACCAGUGGCGAAGGCGGCCUCCUGGGCUGCUCCUGACGCUGAAGGCGAAAGCUAGGGGAGCGAACGGGAUUAGAAACCCCGGUAGUCCUAGCCGUAAACGAUGGAUGCUGGGUGUGGGGGGUAUAGAUUCCCUCCGUGCCGAAGCUAACGCGUUAAGCAUCCCGCCUGGGGACUACGGCCGCAAGGAUUCAACUGAGACGAAUUGACGGGUCCCAGCACAAACAGCGGAGCGUGUGGUUAAAUUCGAUACGACACGAAGAACCGGACAAGGGUUGUGACAUGACAAGUAGUAGUGAAGCGAAAGCAGGAACGACCAUUCGGAGGAGCUUGCACAGGUCCUGCAUGGCUGUCGUCAGCUAGUACAGUGAGGUAUCGGGUUAAGUCCCGUAACGAGCACAACCCGUGCCCUUAGUUAUACGUGUCUAAGGGGACUGCCCGGGACAACUGGGAGGAAGGUGGGGAUGACGUCAAGUCAGCAUGGCCUUUAUAUCCAGGGCGACACACACGCUACAAUGGCCGGUACAAUGGGUUGCCAAGCCGUGAGGCGGAGCCAAUCCCGCAAAGCUGGUCUAAGUUCGGAUUGUGGGCUGCGACUCGCCCACAUGAAGCUGGAGUUGCUAGUAACCGCGCGUCAGCCAUAGUGCGGUGAAUACGUUCCCAGGGGAUUGUACACACCGCCCGUCACGUCAUGGAAGCUGGCAACACCUAAAGCCGGUACGCUAACCCGAAAGGGAGGCCGCCGUCUAAGGUGGGG
rnacentral:rRNA from 1 species